AUAAACCCGGGAAACUGGGUAUAAUACCCGAUAGAUCUUGGCUGCUGGAAUGCAUCGAGCUCUAAAGGUCCGGCGCCUGAGGAUGGGUCUGCGGCCUAUCAGGUAGUAGUGGGUGUAGCGUACCACUAGCCUACGACGGGUACGGGUUGUGGGAGCAAGAGCCCGGAGAUGGAUUCUGAGACACGAAUCCAGGCCCUACGGGGCGCAGCAGGCGCGAAAACUUUACAAUGCGGGAAACCGUGAUAAGGGAACUCCGAGUGCCCGUAAAAUCGGGCUGUCCAUCUGUUUAAAUAACAGGUGAAGAAAGGGCCGGGCAAGACCGGUGCCAGCCGCCGCGGUAAUACCGGCGGCUCGAGUGGUGGCCACUAUUACUGGGCUUAAAGCGUUCGUAGCUGGUCUGUUAAGUCUCUGGGGAAAUCUACUGGCUUAACCAAUAGGCGUCUCAGGGAUACUGGCAGACUAGGGACCGGGAGAGGUGAGAGGUACUCCAGGGGUAGGAGUGAAAUCCUGUAAUCCUUGGGGGACCACCUGUGGCGAAGGCGUCUCACCAGAACGGCUCCGACAGUGAGGGACGAAAGCUGGGGGAGCAAACCGGAUUAGAUACCCGGGUAGUCCCAGCCGUAAACGAUGCGCGUUAGGUGUAUCGGUGACCACGAGUCACCGACGUGCCGAAGAGAAAUCGUGAAACGUGCCGCCUGGGAAGU
rnacentral:rRNA from 1 species